rnacentral:rRNA from 1 species
UUUUAUGGAGAGUUUGAUCCUGGCUCAGGAUGAACGCUGGCGGCGUGCCUAAUACAUGCAAGUCGAGCGAACGGAUGAGAAGCUUGCUUCUCUGAUGUUAGCGGCGGACGGGUGAGUAACACGUGGAUAACCUACCUAUAAGACUGGGAUAACUUCGGGAAACCGGAGCUAAUACCGGAUAAUAUUUUGAACCGCAUGGUUCAAAAGUGAAAGACGGUCUUGCUGUCACUUAUAGAUGGAUCCGCGCUGCAUUAGCUAGUUGGUAAGGUAACGGCUUACCAAGGCAACGAUGCAUAGCCGACCUGAGAGGGUGAUCGGCCACACUGGAACUGAGACACGGUCCAGACUCCUACGGGAGGCAGCAGUAGGGAAUCUUCCGCAAUGGGCGAAAGCCUGACGGAGCAACGCCGCGUGAGUGAUGAAGG